rnacentral:tRNA from 1 species
GAAGGAGGCAUGACGGCAACAAAAACUGCUAACUUUUGUGUCUUUGGUUAAAACCCAGAGCUCCAUCG